rnacentral:rRNA from 1 species
CCUACGGGCGGCAGCAGUGAGGAAUAUUGGUCAAUGGCCGCAAGGCUGAACCAGCCACGCCGCGUGCAGGAAGACGGCCCUAUGGGUUGUAAACUGCUUUUAUACGGGAGGAAAAAAUGCUACGCGUAGCGUGCUGACCGUAUCCUAUGAAUAAGCAUCGGCUAACUCCGUGCCAGCAGCCGCGGUAAUACGGAGGAUUCAAGCGUUAUCCGGAUUUAUUGGGUUUAAAGGGUGCGUAGGCGGUCGUUUAAGUUAGUGGUGAAAUCCCGGGGCUUAACCUCGGUUUUGCAUUUGAAAUUGUGUGUCUAGAGAGUAGUAGAGGCAGGCGGAAUGCAUGGUGUAGCGGUGAAAUGCGUAGAGAUAAGGAAGAACACCAGUGGCGAAGGCAGAUUACCAGACUACAACUGACGUUGAGGCACGAAAGCGUGGGGAGCAAACAGGAUUAGAUACCCUAGUAGUC